rnacentral:lncRNA from 1 species
CACAGGUCCAGAUCUGAGCGCCCAUCCCUAAAGCAAUGGUGGUGAGAGGAGGAGGCAGAGAGAGGAGAUCUUGGUGCUCCAUACUAAAACCCUUCCAUGCCCAGGAACAGUGCUGAUCAUCCAGAAGUAAAGCAAGUAUUUUCACUGAAGAGACAGAGGCUCUUCUCCCCAAGAAGCCUUCCUUUUUCCUCCAUCAGUAUGUAUAAAAGACAUACAAAGCCAGCUGCUCAGAUGGAUUAGAAAGCACUGCACCACGUCAAUGGGCACCCUUGUUUGUGUUGUUGAGAAGAGAUUUUUAGUUAAGAAAGAAAGAAAGAAAUGCCUCCCCUGUAAUCGCCACUAACGAGGAGACCCUAGUGAAGUUUUUGUUUUUUAAAAGGCUUUGGCAAAAGACAUUUUGGACUUUUGGAUUAGUUCAUGUUCCCUCCCACUCCCCACUUGAUCCUUGAGGAUUUGCCUGAGUCAUAGAUUUUUACUGGUCUUGUUAACUCUGUUGUUUUUUUUUUUUUCAGUCAAGAGGAUAAAGAAAUCUUUUGGCGAGAGCCACUCAGGGGGGAUUAGCUGAGAGUGGACUGAACAAGGCGGUGACUCCCCAGAGGGGAUGACCCCUGACUCCUGGGUCAGGCAGGGACUCAUCUUUGCCUCAUAGACAAGGCAAGAUGAAGAUUCCCUACAAGUGUUUUCUCCAUCCUCACCGAUGUCCUUCCAUGCAGUGACAGGCAGGGCAGAAGAUGAGCUCUGUUAUGACAGCUGCUGUUCUGCAAAACUGGGGGAAACGAUAAAGUGGAUAGAAUAUCAAAGGGUAUAGGAACUGUUAUUGGAAGGAAACCAUAACCUCUUUUACAACCUAAAGGGACCUACCUUUUUUCCUCCUGUAUAAUUUUCAGAGCUGCAAGGGUUUUCACUGCACAGCAGCAGUGCUUCAAUUCAUUGAAGAGCUAAAAGGUGACAAGAGUGGCUUUUGGAGAAGUUUCUGUUGUAGAUGUGAGCUCUACCCAGUACUGAUGGUAUCCUGGAUGAUGUGGUGGUGGCAGAAGGUUAUGAGUGAGCUGCUUGCACAAGCUUUAUGAAUUUAACUUGCUCACUUUGGCUGGGAAGUUACAAGCAAUGCAUUUGGGAUGCAAAAACACAGUAUGAAAUAAAGCCAAAAAUCAAACUGAAAGCUGACA